AAGCUGCAAAGAGUGUGUUAUGGGGUAUUUGUACUCUGUGUGAAGAUAUAGUGCUGUGAUUGAUUUAAUAAAGAGCUCAAUGGCCAAUAUCUAGGCAGGAGGUAUAG